UUUUAAAAGAAAACUAGGACAGUUAUGAUGGCCAUACUCACGGCACAUAGUGAAAAGAGCAAAAGCCAAACAGAUAAAAGUAUAAGGAUAGGGACCCAGUCAGUCAUGUGACCUGAGAUGGCAGCUGCUGGUGCUUUCCUUAAGAGUCAUAUUUUAUCCUAUGUCUAGAAUCAGUAAUUAGUAAAGAAGCUAUUAUGACUUUUAGGCUUGACAAUUUUAGUAAUUUGGUGAAAGUCUAUUCUGUACUUGUAAGAUUUAUUUUUAAAUUAUUUUGAUUUAGGAAUACAAGAAAGUUUUUUGUUUUUAAUUAUAAUUUAAUAUAAGGUUUUCAGAUUGCACAGACAGACUACAAUAAUAGACUCCAAUGGAAGUACCACUUCGGCCUUAACAGUCAGGGAAAAAGCAUGGCCAGUCUUACUUUAUCAGUGCACUCACCUUGUUCUCUACUAAUGUGUUAUUAUUGCAUGUUGAGAUGCAACUGCAGGUCUUUACACAUGAUAGGUGUGCCCUGCACCAAGUGAGCCACACUCCUAGACUUACCAUUUCAUUAUUUUAAUUUUAUAUUUUAUGUGUAUGGGUGUUUUGCAUACAGGCAUGUCGAUGCCUGGUGCCCACAGGAUCCAGAAGAGGGUGUCAGAUUAACUAAAACUGGAGUCAUAGAUGGUUGUGAGCUACCAUAUGGGUGCUGGAAACGGAAGCUAAGUCCUUUACAGGAGCAACUAGUGCUCUUAACCACUGAGCCAACUCUCCACCUACAUUGUUUUAUUUUUAAAGCAAAUCCUACAUACAUAUUUUCAUCUACAAUAUUUUCUUAAAAUUAUCUUGAACUCUUGAUGAAAUGUCUAUACUAAGCUAAUUCAGUUUUUAUCUUACCUAAUUCCAUGGCAUACUGCCUUAUCUUGAAUCAUUUACUCCUCUCUUUGGUUUUUAAAAACUAUACUGCUAAAUUAAAUGUAAACAUGGGUUCGUAUAUACUUUCAGUUAAGAGCUGUAGUACUGUUUUAUGUCCUCGUCAUAGCUAUGCAAUAAUAGUCUCAUCAGAUACAUUUCAAGGAGUGAUCACUCUUUGGUGUACUUCUUUAGACGCUGUCAGAAGCUUAGGAUGUGUGGAACAGGAGGACUGUGACUGUAAAUGCUUACUAAUCGCUUUGAGAGAGUGUUAUUAAAUCUUUUCUAAAUUGCUUUUUUCUUUAAAAUUAUUUUUAACUUAAAUGAUAAUUACCUUUUGAGGUUGAACAGAAGCUCAUUAACAAACUACAGUGACUUUUUAGGGUGCUCUUUGAGAGCAUAGUCUUAUAUCUGGGGACUAAAAUGUCAUUAGACCCUAAUAGACCAAGUUAUAUGUUUGUGUAGGAAAAAGGUUUCCUCUCUCGUUCAAGGUAAUUGUUUGCUUCCUGGUGUCAUUUGUGUAGAAUUCUAGAAAGUGGUUGGAUUUUUAAAAAUUAGAUUUAAGACAGCCUAAAUUCUCUUAGAAGUAGUUAGUUUUAUAUUAUUGUAGUGUUAUUGGAAUGUGAUCCUGAAAUAUAUUACUGAAAAUUAAAAUUUUUAUUUUGUUAAUUGCAAUCUUGGCUCUCAGAAAUGCAGUAUAAUAUUGAUAUAUAGCUGCUAUCAUCUUUCUGAGAGUUCAGAACAUAUGGCAGCUGUUUGUGAAGCUAUUUUUUACUGACAAAUUUUGAUAAGUUUGGCUACUGUAAUGGAAAGUAGGCUUUCUUAAGCACUGACUACAUUUGGAUUCUUGUAAAGUUUGGAUAAUACAUUCUCAGGUGCUGCUGGACUUUGUGCACUUUGGAGGUACUGCAUGUAUCUUCCACUGUUUGAGAUGUUUCUGUGGCUUGUGUGUUUGCAACAACUCAUUAAAGGUGUAUGCAGAAAUAUUUUCUAGUAUAUUGAUUUUUGCUGUAUAACAGUAUAAUAAUAAACACGGGUUGAUUCACCCC
rnacentral:lncRNA from 1 species